GCCUAGUCCAGCUUGGCACCUCGGCCGGACCCGACCUCCUGGGGGCAGCAGGUGAGUUUGCGGCCAGGACACCGGGCAUCCGCGGACCCUCAGUUCCUUGCCCUUCCGGCUCUCAGAUCACCCAGUUCCUGGCCCUGUAAUCCUCGAUUCUGCAGCCCUAGGCCCCUGGUCCCCCAAUACCGUGACUGUCCGACGCCCCCGGUCUUCAGCCCUGACUUACUCCCCGGUGCCUCCCGCGUACCUCCCAUUUCCCAGCUUCCUGGCCCCGGGUUCUCCAGUCCUUCGACCCGUGACGUUUUUGUUCCUCGGACCCCAAACUCCAGGAUCCCAGUGUGCGGCCGUCCAGACCCCCCCUCCCCUGCCUCCCGGCCUGUGAGCUUUACCGCCCUUCAGCCUAGCGGUUGCAGGGACCUACGUGGCCCCUCAGCGCUCUGGUCCCGAGCAGUCUUGGACGCAGACUGGUUCUGCACUGCCCACUUUGUCGGGAAAGGGCCUCAGCCCUUCACUUCGAAAGAAGAUUCUGUCCAGAGGUGCCGGUAAGCCAGGUUUUCUAACCUCAGUUUGUUUGAUUUUUCCCUUCUUGGUCUCUGAAGUGAGUCCUCUGCGGAAGGAGGAAAAACAAAACAUCUCAACAACAGACCCCCACAGGAUCAAGCUUCUAAACUUUUUCUCAAUUGUACCUGGCAAUAGAAUAUACUGUAUUUGCACUCUUAAGGCACCCACAAGUCAGAAGUAAUAUACACUGUUCCAUAGCUGUGCAAUGUUUAGAGCAUUGAAGCCCUAACUAUAGUUCUGGACGAGGUGAUGAUCUGAUAUCGUCUGUUCUUCAGAGUGAAGAAGCAUAACUUAGACAUGGGUUCUUUGUGUUCUCUGAACGGUUUUUGGUCACCCAUACUGUGUAGCCUUAGGGCCAAGCUAUGUCCCUAGAUGUCCCCUUUGACCUCAGAUGUACAUCACGUCCCAUUUAAGAAGCAAAUGUUCUCUAGUGUGACAUGUAGCUCACUAAAGUUUGAAAUCCUUAUUUGCUUCAUUAUCUACUAGGUAUGUCUGCCUGAAGGAAGAGUAUUUUGUUGUUUUUUUUUUCAUUUCAGCUAUUAAGAAUUCUUAAGGGUGGGUGAUAUGGAUACCAGGUAGGGGUGCUUGCCACAAAGCCUGACUACCUGAGUUUGAUCCUGGUACUCACUUGGAGGAAGGAGAUACUCAGCUCCCACCUUCUAGGCUUCUAGGCAUGCACUUGUGAGCCCACCCAAGAAAGAAAUCUUAAAAAAAAAAAAAAAAGGAUUCUUGAGGCCUUCUUUAGGCUGGUUAAACUGAGAGAUACUUAUUUUCAUGUUAUUAAGCAACAUUUAAGAUGAUUAAUUUGAGCAGGGAAGUAAGUGGUGGAGCAUGCCUUUGUUCCCCGCACUUGGGAGGCAGAGGCAGGCAGAUUUCUGAGUUCGAGGCUAGCCUGGUCUACAGAGUGAGUUCCAGGACAGCCAGGGCUACACAGAAAAACCCUGUCUUGAAAAAACAAAAAACCCCAGACCAAACCCUAACUUCUCUCCAAUAUCCAAAGUUUACCACACAGGAAGAGUUUCUUAAAUCCAAACCAAGUCAGGCAUGGUGGCACCACCUUUGAUCCCAGCACUUGGGAGGCAGAGGCAGGCAGAUCUCUGUGAGUUUUGGGCCAGCCUGGUCUGCACAGUGAGCUAUGUGUAGAGACCCUGUCUCAGGCCCGUAGCUGAGAAUGUCCUUCUGCUUGGUUUUACUCAGAGAUCCAGAGUUGCCUUAGGAGAUGCUGGCUUCUUGCCUGUGUUUGCCUCCAUUUGUGGUUGUAAGCCUCUGAGGGCAGCCACAGAGCUUUGGACACUGGGAUCCAGUACAGAAACGUGCUGUGGUCUUGGUGACGUUCACGUAGCAGCUAGAAAAGAAUGCAGAGAGCUUUGGAACUCAGCUCUAGCUGUGUCUCCCCAAAUGCUCUUGAGCUGUCUGGGGCAGUUGUGUGCGUGAGUGAAUGCCUGGGCUUCUAACUUAUGCCUGAGUGAGUCAUGCCAGUAACGGAGUCCUACAUGCAAAAAUCUGCAUUUGUGUGCUCACAGUCGUAGGAUGCCAUUCUAACAUGUGAUUAAUGCAGUAAAAGGAAGGUAGAAUGAGCUGGGUGUGGUGCUGCAUGCCUUUUCCUUUAAUCCGAGCACUCAGGAGGCGAGGCCAGCCUGGUCUACAAAGUGAGUUCCAGGACUGCCAGGGCUAUACAGAGAAACCCUGUCUGGGGG
rnacentral:lncRNA from 1 species